UCCGUAGGCGGGCAAUUAAGUCAGAGGUGAAAUCCCACAGCUCAACUGUGGAACUGCCUUUGAUACUGGUUGUCUUGAGUUAUAGUGAAGUAGAUAGAAUAUGUAGUGUAGCGGUGAAAUGCAUAGAUAUUACAUAGAAUACCGAUUGCGAAGGCAGUCUACUAACUGUAUACUGACGCUAAUGGACGAAAGCGUUGGGAGCGAACAGGAUUAGAUACCCUGGUAGUCC
rnacentral:rRNA from 1 species